AGGAGGAGCAAUAUCUCCCCACUGCUACACAGCUGGGCUCAAGGGCAUAGAGGACUAUGCAAAAAUUCAGGCAAAGGGAGCAGGCUGGACCUGCAGAGAGCGAGGACGGGCAUUUCAGCCAGAGCACAGAUUUGUCUCAUAACAGGUGCAACCCAAGACACAGGGAAUAGAGGUUGUUUUCCUUCCCGUCUCCAUGCUGUAGCUUGCAGCCAUCAGUGGCACUUGACUCCGCCUGGACAGGACACACUGAAGCAGGGUGGUGGCAUCUCUGUGCUGCUGGCCGUGAGUGGGUGGAGGUGCCUCCUGGCCUCCAGUGAGUCACAAGCUGUUCCCCAGAUCUGCAGCAACAAAAGGGGACAUGAGGGUAUGGCGCAGCAGGUUCCUGUGCCUCCCCUCCUCCCGGAAAACAUGCACCUUCUCUUUCAAGUCGGUGCCCUGUGGACAUCGCAGUGGGAUUAAUUGCAGGGCAGCUAAUGAGCACUCUCCAGGAUUAGAGAUGGAAUGGGUCUAACCCAAAAUCAUAGCUUAGGGCACCCAGAAGUCUCCGUGGACUUUGCAAGUUGAUCACUGGCCAGACACAGAAGAUGCUAGAUAA
rnacentral:lncRNA from 12 species